UGGGGAAUAUUGGACAAUGGGCGAAAGCCUGAUCCAGCCAUGCCGCGUGUGUGAAGAAGGUCUUCGGAUUGUAAAGCACUUUAAGUUGGGAGGAAGGGCAUUAACCUAAUACGUUAGUGUCUUGACGUUACCGACAGCAUAAGCACCGGCUAACUCUGUGCCAGCAGCCGCGGUAAUACAGAGGGUGCAAGCGUUAAUCGGAAUUACUGGGCGUAAAGCGCGCGUAGGUGGUUUGUUAAGUUGAAUGUGAAAUCCCCGGGCUCAACCUGGGAACUUCAUCCAAAACUGGCAAGCUUGAGUAUGGGAGAUGGUAGUCGUAUUUCCUAUGUAGCGGUGAAAUGCGUAGAUAUAUGAAGGAACACCAGAGGCGAAGGCGACAACCUAGACUGAUACUAACACUGAAGGGCGAAAGCGUGGGGAGCUAACA
rnacentral:rRNA from 1 species